GCAGCGCUGAUAACCGCGGUGCUGCCACAGCUACUCGUGCCCAACGCCCAGCCCAAGCGCUGCGUGGUUUUUUUGACAGGAACAGCAGCUGAAGUUUUCACUUGGUUGGAGCGUGGGAGGGGAGGGCAGAGAGCAGAGGAGUGAGGGCUGUGCUCAGGCAGCAGCUUCUGGGCACAGCCAGGUAGUUGUGAAACACCACGGAGCUGGUGCUGGAGCCCAGGGCUGCAGGGAGCACUGGGAGCCUUAGGACAGGAGGGCAUUGGCUUCUUCGAGGCCUUACAUCGCUCAGCUGUGCUUCCAUAUAAGUAGUCUAAGAAGAUAACUUAAGUACUUUCUUAUUUGUAAAACUGGGUCCGUUCCAAGGAUUGUGAUCCUUGAAAUGGUGAAGAAAUGGUGAAGAGCCACAGGCCUGGAAGCGGGGAGGAGGUACGGAGGGUGGAAGGUAACUAAAGGCUGCCAGGUUUACUUGUAAAAGGUUGCAAGCCACUUUUGUAGCCUUGUUUUAGACCUUUGACAAAAGCUGGGGGCACAAACCAAGCUGUCUAAUGCUGCUGUGACAAAUGAGCUACUAAAAUAUUGCUCGUGCUGAAGAUGAGAAUAGUUUGGCAGCCAGCAGCCGUCUGGUUAUAGUCAGGACGUCCACUAUUAAGGCCUUUGGAUUAUCCAACGACCGGAGAUAUUCCAAUUCUUUCCAUUCUUUCACCUCUUAUGUACAUUUCCAUGAAGAAAAUAACUUUGAAAGAAAUGCUGGGAAUUCUGACAUUUGCCACAUUGCACAACAAUGAUGAUUAAACAAGAAUCAAAACAAAAGCCCACAACCAACAACCCAGGAAUUUACCUUAUUAAGAUAUAUUUUGAGGCCUCCUGAUAAUUUUGUAAGUUAGAAGAGCACAAGAGGGAUUUAGAUGUCCAAAUCACAUUAGCUGUUCAUAGGAAAACAAGGCAAAAGCAUUCUUUUUGCCUACUUUUGAAAAUUACAGGAGGGGUCAGGCUGCCUGGCCUAGACGUGUUCGCCUCUCCCUUACCAUCCUUGUGUGACUGCAGCUGCAAUGUUUCCUAUAACUGUGUAUCUGAGAUGAAGCCCAGAGCUUCCAUCACUUACAAAUCUGAAUUCAGGAAUAAGAAGAUGCCCAUAUAUUAGAACAUUCUGCAAUUUACCUGCAAAAUGGAACUGCUGCUUAUGGCUGUUAGCAGUUGCAACAUUUCUUUACGCCCGGUGACCCCCAUUUCCACGUGCCCAGCUCCCAGAAGGCGGCUGAGUCUGGUACGGGGACGGCUCAAAGCACACAGGCUCCAGAGGGGCUGCUCUGACGGGACGAGUGUCUGCAGGAGGAACUGCCGAGCCCUGCAAAGCCUGCCUAGCCCACCUGUGUCCCGAGGGCUCUGAAUGUUCAAAAGGCUCAAGGAAGGCCGGUGUUCUGCAGCAUCCUUUGGUGGUGCCGUCUGGUGGAGAAGGAGCUCGGGACAACUGCAAGAACCGACCCCUGUGAGCUUUCUGCCCGUGAUAACCCCAGAAAUUUCAAGCAACAGUUCUUGGAAACCAUAUGGAGAUCAGCCUGGGAGUUUUGCAAGGAAACACCCAGCAGUGGCCGUUUUCAGAGAGAAGAUACAAUUCUGACCUGCUGCUGUUAUACCUUCGGCAUUUUGUGAUAUGGUGGGUAAAGAUUAUUCCCAGACUGAAGCCUUCAUCACAAGCCAACUUUUAACUGUGAGAGAAAUGUCUGAACUGGUUUGCAACUGAAAUGAAUAUCUAUGGGAACUGAUGCCUGUCCACCCACGUUGCCAGACUGUUUCUUCACAUGAAAAGGAAUGAUUCUUCAAAAGGAAAGUAUAAUUAAUACUUUCACAUACACUUUAAUUUUUUGAAUUGACUGGUGAGGGGAGGGUGGCUAUGGACAGAGCAUGUUUCAUGUCUUUUGGAAAUAUUGUUCAGACAUAAACUGCAAUGUCAUUAUAAUAUACAAAAUAGCUUUACUGAAUUUCAUAAUUACAAUAUAAAAUAUUAAUUUACAGUGAAAUAAACCACAAUAAUAAGGGAGCGUAGAAGGUCUUCUGCACCCUCACCAUUGCAAAUCAGGAUAGUGACAUGAUACAGCCAGAUCAUGGCCUGAUCCACACUUACAUUUAUUUGCGUAUUUGGUGCUUGGGUGAGAAGUGUGUGUCUGGAGGGCUUUGAGGAGUGUUGGGCUGAGAGGAGUGAGGCAAACAGGGGCUGGGAGGAUUGUUCUGCCCUAGGACUAUUUUGUUAGAGGCUGGAUGCCUCUACCAACUGCUUGGUCUGUGCUGAGCCCCUUCUGCAGCCUCACAGAAAAAAAGUGUCAGGCCCUGCCAGAGCAGAUCAUCUUGGAGAGAAGGGUGAAACUUUAUUAACUGAGUUGCUGUAUGAAUCAAAGGGAAACUCUCUACUGGGUUCAAUUAUGCCUAUGUGUUGAGAGCACAACUUUCAUAAAAAUCAUCUGAUAUGUUUGCAUGGAUAAGAAAAAACGUGAGGAUGUUUAACAUCACAGGGCCAGCAGCACAGAAAUGAAAGGUCCCACAGGAGCUUUCAUUCUCCUUCAAAUGUUUGUCACUAUCAGACCAUAAGUGUACAAACCAACUUUUGAAAAUUAGUAAGAAUAAAAAAGACAAGGUUUCCUUCCAAGAUGUUACCCUUUAUUCAAAAUAAUCAACACUCAAAGUAUUUUGAAAUAAAGUUAAUGCCAGAAUAAGGGAAAAUAACUGUAAAAGUUCUCUAUUGACAGAAGAAACUAAAAAAAAAAUCCGUUAUAAUCUCACACACACACAAAAAAAAUAAUUUAAUGGUGCAGUAAUCAGUGUAAUACAAGCUAUAUUUAGAAGCACUACAAUUAUUACAUAAUACAUCAUGAAGACCCUCUAGAGAUGGUAUUACCAGAGAUUAUAGGCUAGUUCAGAAAGCCAUUAAGGAUCUAUUAGUUGCCAAACUGGCCCAUCCAUAACUUUCAGUAAUGUCCUCUCUGGAGCAUUACUUUCUUAUCACACUAUAUCUGUAGUAUGAAACAGAAGCUAUACCCAAGACUGUUGAAAUAAAAUGUAGACUUGACAUCUUUGCUAUUUUGUAAUUAACACCUUUGUUAUAUUCUUGACUCAAGUUUUACAAUAAUUGGAUGAAUUAAUCAAUAUGUCUUCUGGGAUUUGGUUUUGUUUCUCACUAUCCAUUAGAUAACUUCUGAAGUUAAAAUCAUGAUACAUAUUUUCAUGUUAAUAGAAGUUUGAUGAAAUAAGUAUAAAGUAAAAAAAAAAAAAAAAAAGAAGUUCAUCAAAAAAAUGUAGUGGAAAACAGCACAAAACACUCCAUUAGAGGUGUGUUUUCUUUCAGCUGCAAUAGUUUAGAAAUUAUCAACUCUUUGAACAUAUGAUACAUAACAAAUGACUUAAUUAUAAUUUGUGGACAAAAAUGCAAUGGUCUUAGAUCCACCAGUUAAGAUGCUGUUAUGGUAAGGGCUGCAGAAGAACAGCCAGAGGACGUACAGUGGUAAAAAUGAUGACUGCUGCAAAUUUCUGAAAUAUUUGGAAUUUAUAAUUUAAACAUACAGAAUAUGAUAUAGAAAAUUAGAGUUUACAUCUAUCAGACAAAUAGAUCAGAUGGUAGAUCUCAUCUUCAUUUUUGACAUUUGUGAAGAUAUUAUGUGAAACCUGAUCUUUCGGUAAAUUGGAAGUCUCUGUCUUCGUCCAUUCUCUCUUUUAUUUGUGUGUGAGAAAUUUCAGAUUUACUUGUGAAAGUUUCUGAAAUGGUCCAUGUGACAUUUUAAAUUUUAUAAUGUGUAUCUGAUUUCACUUGUACUCAUUCACCUAAUAUCUAAAAACAUUUGAAUAUGUAGAACAAAUGUAUUUUUCUCCUGCUUUGUGAUGAACAAAAUUUCUGCAGAAUGAUGCAUGCAUUAAGCAUUCCUCUGAAUUAGUUCUCUCUACCGGAGGGCAAGAAAAUCCAGUGCUCUAAAAAGUAAACAUGAAAAUUAACACAAGAACACAAAUAAUUAAUUCUUGGACUGGUAAUGCUGCUGCAAAUAUGUAUAGAUACUGUAGCACUGUAACCUGGAUCCUAUUGGCCGUGCAAAUGCAGAAUGUUGGCAUAGUUUAUAGAGUUCUUGUACACCUAAGGAUAUAAGUAUAUUCAUAAAUAAAUUGUUACGUUGUGUGUAUUGAUAAAAUAAAUUGUUCAUAGAACAGUAGUGUUCUGUUUUACAUCCACUUUGGAAAAGAGUAAAUAGUUGCACAAGGUCAAAAUUGGUGAAGAUUUUCUAAACAAAAUAAUACUAGCUCCUGUUUUGGGUAUUGACUUCCAGUGAAGAAAAGUGUAGGAUUUUUGAGUUUGCUAUAUUCUUUACUCUAGGUGUAAAAUCAGUGCUAUUCUAGGUUAAGCAUUUUUCAUGUAGUUUCAUCACAGGAUAGCAGCCUGUGCUUUGUGUGUGAGUGUGAGACCUUCUCCAGCCCCACACAUUAUCUCUGAAGUAGUAUGUGGGAUGUUAGCUUAUCACUGUUUUAUUGCAAAAAAAUUGAGAAAUGUCUGAUUAAGUCAGAGAAAAGUUACUGCAUUAUUAAAAUGGUUGAAUCAAUUUUUUCUUUCUUAUGGUUUGUCAAAUUUAUAAAAUAUUAUAUUUCUCCUCAGAUAGAGUUACAUACUGUGUAGCUCAGAGAUAAUCCCUAUGGUCUUGGCAUAUGUUACUUAAUUGUCUCAGAAGGAAAUACCAUAAAUACCAUGCUGUCAUCUCCCAUGGGCAUUUGCUCAUCUGUCACAGUGGGAGCUCCAGACUGGGUGAGGUGCUCUAAGACAUUUCUUAAACUAUGUAAAUCACAGCCAUUUCUUCUUCCUACUUCCCAAAUGGUCAAUUAUGUAUAAACAUGUGUUAAUAAAAAUUUGCUUCUUUUGC